CCAGCAAGACAGGACCAAGAGAAGCUGGUAGCAACAGGAUCUGACCAAAUGAAAAGUGCAAGAGGGAAACCCAGAUAGCAGCUGAACAGCCUCUAAUACCUGCAAGAUGGUCUGCUUCUGAAGGUGACAUUGUCCAGACUUUAUCAGAAGUGGAUCUGGCUUCAUUGCAUGGCAAAUUCCCAGAUGAGGAUGCCCUCAUCCAUGGACUGUUUCAUCCACGGCACUGCUGCACUUUAUGAGAGAGAAGGAGCAAGAAAGGGAAGAACAGUUAAUAGAAGACAAGAGAAGGAAGAAAGAGGAUAAAAAGAAAAAAGAAGCCACUCAGAAGAACAUCCCAAGCUACAACAAACUGGCUCCUCCAUCCCCCCAUACCCAGACCAGGAUGUGAGUUGUCUUGGUUGACACUGAAGAAUGAAUAGAAUGAAGGUGCAGUGGGGAAUCCAGAUGCCAUCUAAGAAGCCUGACUUACCUGAGGCCACCAUGCUAUAAGGAAGCCCAAGAUAGCCGUGUGGAGAGAGAGGGGCCAUGCAGAAGAUCACUGAAGUGUCUGUCAUGUUAAGUUCCAGGCUUACCAUAUUGAUCGAAUGGGACCUUCAGCCAAGUUUUCACCCCUUGGAGUGCCACCUUUCAUCUAAGAGCACAGGCUCCAGACGCGCAGGCUCAGUAGUUGUGGCUCACGGGCCUAGUUGCUCCAUGGCAUGUGGGAUCUUCCCAGACCAGGG